CUCUAUACAUGCCCCUGUUUAGAAUUCAAAUAUGAAUAGAUACAAACAAAUGUUAAAACCGGGUGUGUCUGCAGAGGAAACCUUACCUCCAUCUCAUAAACGUCCAUCCUCUGACUGAGUGGCAGGUCAUCCUGCUUCACCUGAGAGCACAGCCUGGUGAUCUCUGCCGCCAGGUGCUGGUUCUCUUGCUGACACACACUCAGUGCUUUCCUCUCCGCCUCCAGGGCCUGAACAAGAUGGCCGACCUCCAAACACCUGAGAGAGAACUGCUGAGAGAGCACCUGCAGCUCCCUCUGAGAGGAGGCCAGCUCCUCCCUGCACACACACACACACACACACACACACACACACACACACACACACACA